rnacentral:rRNA from 1 species
CGGAGGGUGCAAACGUUGUUCGGAAUCACUGGGCGUAAAGGGCGCGUAGGCGGACUUGUAAGUCGGGAGUGAAAACUCGGGGCUCAACCCCGAGCCUGCUUCUGAAACUGCGAGUCUUGAGGACCGGAGAGGAAAGUGGAAUUCCUAGUGUAGCGGUGGAAUGCGUAGAUAUUAGGAAGAACACCAGUGGCGAAGGCGACUUUCUGGACGGUUCCUGACGCUGAGGCGCGAAAGCUAGGGGAGCAAACAGGAUUAGAUACCCUGGUAGUCCUAGCCGUAAACGAUGAGUGCUAGGUGGUGGUAGUUUCAACACUUUCACCGCCGCAGCCAACGCAUUAAGCACUCCGCCUGGGGAGUACGGCCGCAAGGUUG